rnacentral:tRNA from 1 species
AGGGGCAUAGUGUAAUGGUAGCACCCUAGUCUCCAAAACUAGUAGUUUAGGUUCGAAUCCUAAUGUCCCUGCCA